GUGCCAGCAGCCGCGGUAAUACGGAGGGAGCUAGCGUUAUUCGGAAUUACUGGGCGUAAAGCGUACGUAGGCGGCUUUGCAAGUUAGAGGUGAAAGCCUGGAGCUCAACUCCAGAACUGCCUUUAAAACUGCAUCGCUUGAAUCCAGGAGAGGUGAGUGGAAUUCCGAGUGUAGAGGUGAAAUUCGUAGAUAUUCGGAAGAACACCAGUGGCGAAGGCGGCUCACUGGACUGGUAUUGACGCUGAGGUACGAAAGCGUGGGGAGCAAACAGGAUUAGAAACCCCUGUAGUCC
rnacentral:rRNA from 1 species